rnacentral:tRNA from 1 species
UCCCUGGUGGUCAAGUGGUUAAGACUCUGAGCUCCCAAUACAGGGGACACAGGUUCAAUCCCUGGUUGGGGAA